rnacentral:rRNA from 1 species
AGAGCGAACGCUGGCGGCAUGCUUAACACAUGCAAGUCGCACGGGCAGGGGAAACCCUGUCAGUGGCGGACGGGUGAGUAACGCGUAGGUAUCUAUCCUUGGGUGGGGGACAACGGCUGGAAACGGCUGCUAAUACCGCAUGAUGACCGAGGUCUAAAGGCGCAAGUCGCCUGGGGAGGAGCCUGCGUACGAUUAGCUUGUUGGUGGGGUAAAAGGCCUACCAAGGCUACGAUCGUUAGCUGGUCUGAGAGGAUGAUCAGCCACAUUGGGACUGAGACACGGCCCAAAACUCCUACGGGAGGCAGCAGUGGGGAAUAUUGGACAAUGGGCGCAAGCCUGAUCCAGCAAUGCCGCGUGUGUGAAGAAGGUCUUCGGAUUGUAAAGCCCUUUCGACGGGGACGAUGAUGACGGUACCCGUAGAAGAAGCCCCGGCUAACUUCGCGCCAGCAGCCGC